rfam:Gossypium arboreum cultivar AKA8401 contig_20508_1, whole genome shotgun sequence.
UGCAAUCUAUGAUGGAAAUGAAUCAUCAGACCUGAUCUACCUGUGAUGAUUAUAUAAAUAAUCACCAUCUUUCGACUGAGAUUGCA